rnacentral:pre_miRNA from 1 species
GUUGGACUCCCUUCGUCUGGAAUUAUUUGUCACGAAAAUGAAUAUAUUUAGACGUAUUUUAGUUUUAAAUACAUUCAUUUUUAUUUUAUUUUUACGACAAGUAAUUCGGAACGAAGGGAGCACGUG